rnacentral:snoRNA from 1 species
GUGCACAUUUCAUUGUCUUUUUUUCUUUAUGUCAAGAAAAAAGAUAAUGUGUCAUCUGCUAAGUAGGUCUUUGGAGGUAAAUUAGCAGCAUCACUAAUUUAAGUUGUUGCUUUCAGUCACAGAAAAAA